rnacentral:rRNA from 1 species
UUGUUAGUUGCCAUCAGUUCAGUUGGGCACUCUAGCGAGACUGCCGGUAAUAAACCGGAGGAAGGUGGGGAGUGACGUCAAAUCAUCAUGCCCCUUAUGACCUGGGCUACACACGUGCUACAAUGGUUGGUACAACGAGUUGCGAGUCGGUGACGGCGAGCUAAUCUCUUAAAGCCAAUCUCAGUUCGGAUUGUAGGCUGCAACUCGCCUACAUGAAGUCGGAAUCGCUAGUAAUCGCGGAUCAGCACGCCGCGGUGAAUACGUUCCCGGGCCUU